UUACGGUCAAAUCACGCUGAAACACCGGUUCUCGUUCGAUCACCGAAGUUAAGCAUCGUAGAGCUUCCUAAGCAUCGUAGAGCCAGGUUAGUACUUCUUGAUGGGGGGCCGCUUAAAACACCUGGUACUGUAAG